CAGUCGCCGCGGUAAUGCGGAGGGUGCGAGCGUUAAUCGGAAUAACUGGGCGUAAAGGGCACGCAGGCGGUGACUUAAGUGAGGUGUGAAAGCCCCGGGCUUAACCUGGGAAUUGCAUUUCAUACUGGGUCGCUAGAGUACUUUAGGGAGGGGUAGAAUUCCACGUGUAGCGGUGAAAUGCGUAGAGAUGUGGAGGAAUACCGAAGGCGAAGGCAGCCCCUUGGGAAUGUACUGACGCUCAUGUGCGAAAGCGUGGGGAGCAAACAGGAUUAGAUACCCGAGUAGUCCCUGUCUCUUAUAC
rnacentral:rRNA from 1 species